rnacentral:rRNA from 1 species
UACGUAGGGGGCAAGCGUUGUCCGGAUUUAUUGGGCGUAAAGAGCGUGUAGGCGGUCAGGUAGGUCCGUUGUGAAAACUCGAGGCUCAACCUCGAGACGCCGAUGGAAACCAUCUGACUAGAGUCCGGAAGAGGAGAGUGGAAUUCCUGGUGUAGCGGUGGAAAUGCGCAGAUAUCAGGAGGAACACCGGUGGCGAAGGCGGGUCUCUGGGCAGUAACUGACGCUGAGGAGCGAAAGCGUGGGGAGCGAACAGG